CAUCGGACUUACGUAGUGGUGGGCGACU
rnacentral:sRNA from 1 species